CGGGAGAGCUCGAAUUUAUAAUCUGGCACCUUCGGUGUCCGAGUUGUAAUCUCUAGAAAUGUUUUCCGCGUUGGACCGCACACAAGUCUGUUGGAAUACAGCGGCAUAGUGGUGAGACCCCCGUAUAUGGUGCGGACGCCCAGCGCUUUGUGAUACAUUUUCGAAGAGUCGAGUUGUUUGGGAAUGCAGCUCAAAUUGGGUGGUAAAUUCCAUCUAAAGCUAAAUAUUGGCGAGAGACCGAUAGCGAACAAGUACCGUGAGGGAAAGAUGAAAAGCACUUUGGAAAGAGAGUUAACAGUACGUGAAAUUGUUGGAAGGGAAACGCUUGAAGUCAGACUUGCUUGCCGAGCAAUCGGUUUGCAGGCCAGCAUCAGUUUUCCGGGAUGGAUAAUGGUAGAGAGAAGGUAGCAGUUUCGGCUGUGUUAUAGCUCUCUGCUGGAUACAUCUUGGGGGACUGAGGAACGCAGUGUGCCUUUUGGCGGGGGUUUCGACCUCUUCACACUUAGGAUGCUGGUGGAAUGGCUUUAAACGACCCGCCUUGA
rnacentral:rRNA from 1 species